UUUCCUUAUCUGGUUGAUUUGCUUAUCUGUUACUAUCUACCUAAUUGAGACAUUCUACUUUGGAACUAAAGAGAAGGAGAGACUGCCGAGUUCAGUCCCUGUGGCUGAUAGAAGUGAUGCAGGGGUUCUUCAAGGUGAAAGUGCCGAUGAACCGAGUGAAGGGCUGCACGGACUGCCCCGCCGGAUGAAGGAGGAGGCUCUCUCUAAUCAGGACAAUAAGAAACGCGGACGUCCACGCGAGGUGAAAUACCCCAAAAUAGUUGAUACAGGCUUCAAAUGUAACUUGAAUAGGGCCUGUUCUCACGGGAAGUAUCCAUAUGCCGUGGUGUCGGGUUUUGG